CCAACUGAGCUGAAAUACAUGUUUAAUUCAUGUACAAAAACCUUGAAUAAUCAAAAUGUUUAAAGUCAUUAAUAAAUCCAUAAUAAUAUUCCAAUCCUGUCAUACACUGGCAGAUGAUAAACAGUCAAAAUAAUUGUAAAAAACAAAGAUUAGACAGUGUGAUGUGCAGAUACAAUGAUUGACAGGAUGAAAUGAAUGAGCAAACUUCAUUUAGAAGCUCAUUUAAAUACAGGAUCAGUUCAUUUGCAUAUUGCUCAGAUGCUUCAGUGCUCUGAGAGUGUUUAUAGUGCUGUGAGUUUAACACUUCAUCACUGACACACACAACAAUCUUCAUCAACAUGACCUUCAUCAUCAUCUUCAUCUGGACUCUCACAGCGUUUGCUCAAGAGAGUAGAGGACAGAUCAGCGUCACUCAGAGUCCCUCAACAGCAGCUCAACCAGGAGAAACAGUGAAGAUCAGCUGCAAAACCAGUAAAGAUGUGUUCAGUGAUAGUUUGGGGCAUCGCUUAGCCUGGUACUUACAGAAACCUGGAGAAGCUCCUAAACUCCUGAUUUAUGAUGCAAACACUCUUGAGUCAGGAACUCCAUCUAGAUUCAGUGGCAGUGGAUCUAACAGUGAUUUCACUCUGACCAUCAGUGGAGUCCAGACUGAAGAUGCUGGACAUUAUUACUGUCAGAGUUUUCACUGCAGAACAGAUUCUGAUGGUGAUUGUGUGGGUGACUAUGUAUGCAACUGUGAUUGA